rnacentral:rRNA from 1 species
UGGGGAAUAUUGCACAAUGGGGGAAACCCUGAUGCAGCGACGCCGCGUGAACGAAGAAGGUAUUCGUAUCGUAAAGUUCUUUCCUAUGGGAAGAUAAUGACAGUACCAUAGAAGAAAGCUCCGGCUAAAUACGUGCCAGCAGCCGCGGUAAUACGUAUGGAGCGAGCGUUGUCCGGAAUUAUUGGGCGUAAAGGGUACGCAGGCGGUUUAAUAAGUCGAAUGUUAAAGAUCGGGGCUCAACCCCGUAAAGCAUUGGAAACUGAUAAACUUGAGUAGUGGAGAGGAAAGUGGAAUUCCUAAUGUAGUGGUGAAAUACGUAGAUAUUAGGGGGGAUACCAGUAGCGAAGGCGGCUUUCUGGACACAAACUGACGCUGGGGUAGGAAAGCGUGGGGAGCAAACAGG